rnacentral:rRNA from 1 species
UACGGAGGGUGCAAGCGUUACUCGGAAUCACUGGGCGUAAAGCGCGCGCAGGCGGGCUGAUAAGUUGGAUGUGAAAGCCUACGGCUUAACCGUAGAACUGCAUCCAAAACUGUCAGUCUAGAGUCUGGGAGGGGAAGAUGGAAUUAGUGGUGUAGGGGUAAAAUCCGUAGAGAUCACUAGGAAUACCAAAAGCGAAGGCGAUCUUCUGGAACAGUACUGACGCUGAGGCGCGAAAGCGUGGGGAGCAAACAGGAUUAGAUACCCUGGUAGUCCGCGCCCUAAACGAUGAAUGUUAGUCGUCGGGUAGCUAGUCUAUUCGGUGAUGCAGCUAACGCAUUAAACAUUCCGCCUGGGGAGUACGGUCGCAAGAUUAAAACUCAAAGGAAUAGACGGGGACCCGCACAAGUGGUGGAGCAUGUGGUUUAAUUCGAAGAUACGCGAAGAACCUUACCUGGCCUUGACAUUGAUAGAAUUCUGUAGAGAUACGGAAGUGCCCUUCGGGGAGCUUGAAAACAGGUGCUGCACGGCUGUCGUCAGCUCGUGUCGUGAGAUGUUGGGUUAAGUCCCGCAACGAGCGCAACCCUCGUCACUAGUUACUAACGGUUCGGCCGAGGACUCUAGUGAGACUGCCUUCGCAAGGAGGAGGAAGGUGAGGACGACGUCAAGUCAUCAUGGCCCUUACGGCCAGGGCGACACACGUGCUACAAUGGGUAGGACAAUGAGACGCGAUACCGCGAGGUGGAGCAAAUCUAUAAACCUACUCUCAGUUCGGAUUGUACUCUGCAACUCGAGUGCAUGAAGCUGGAAUCACUAGUAAUCGUAGAUCAGCCAUGCUACGGUGAAUACGUUCCCGGGUCU